GGUAGAGUAACGCGUGAGUAACCUGCCUUACACAAGGGGAUAGCCUUUGGAAACGAAGAAUAAUACCCUAUAAAACCAUAAAAGCACAUGCUAGAAUGGUCAAAGUGAUAGCGGUGUAAGAUGGACUUGCGUCUGAUUAGCUAGUUGGUGAGAUAAAAGCUCACCAAGGCAACGAUCAGUAGCCGGCUUGAGAGAGUGUACGGCCACAUUGGGACUGAGAUACGGCCCAG
rnacentral:rRNA from 1 species